AACGAACGCUGGCGGCAGGCUUAACACAUGCAAGUCGAACGGAUCCUUCGGGAUUAGUGGCAGACGGGUGAGUAACGCGUGGGAACGUACCCUUUGCUACGGAAUAACUCAGGGAAACUUGAGCUAAUACCGCAUGUGCCCUACGGGGGAAAGAUUUAUCGGCAAAGGAUCGGCCCGCGUUGGAUUGGCUAGUUGGUGGGGUAAUGGCCUACCAAGGCGACGAUCCAUAGCUGGUCUGAGAGGAUGAUCAGCCACACUGGGACUGAGACACGGCCCAGACUCCUACGGGAGGCAGCAGUGGGGAAUAUUGGACAAUGGGCGCAAGCCUGAUCCAGCCAUGCCGCGUAAGUGAUGAAGGUCUUAGGAUUGUAAAGCUCUUUCACCGGUGAAGAUAAUGACGGUAGCCGGAGAAGAAGCCCCGGCUAACUUCGUG
rnacentral:rRNA from 1 species